UACGUAGGGUGCAGGCGUUAAUCGGAAUUACUGGGCGUAAAGCGUGCGCAGGCGGUUUGCUAAGACAGGUGUGAAAUCCCCGGGCUUAACCUGGGAACUGCGCUUGUAACUGGCAAGCUUGAGUGUGGCAGAGGGGGGUGGAAUUCCACGUGUAGCAGUGAAAUGCGUAGAGAUGUGGAGGAACACCGAUGGCGAAGGCAGCCCCCUGGGCUAACACUGACGCUCAUGCCCGAAAGCGUGGGGAGCAAACAGG
rnacentral:rRNA from 1 species